UUGAGGAAAAACAAGACAAUUGUAUGUUUCACAAAUACAUCAUAUAUUAUGACCAUGGUUUCACUAGUAAAGGCAUCAUCAGGUACUGGCAAAAACAUGGUCAU